AUUGAACGCUGGCGGCAGGCCUAACACAUGCAAGUCGAGCGAGCGGCGGACGGGUGAGUAAUGUCUGUGAAACUGCCUGCUGGAGGGGGAUAACUACUGGAAACGGUAGCUAAUACCGCAUACCAUCAGAUGUGCCCCGAUGGGAUUAGCUAGUGGGUGUGGUAACGGCGCACCUAGGCGACGAUCCCUAGCUUGUCUGAGAGGAUGACCAGCCAAACUGGAACUGAGACACGGUCCAGAAUCCGACGGGAGGCAGCAGUGGGGAAUAUUGCACAAGGGGCGCAAGCCGGAUGCAGCCAUGCCGCGUGUGUGAAGAAGGCCUUCGGGUUGUAAAGCACUUUCAGCGGGGAGGCGUUACCCGCAGAAGAAGCACCGGCUAACUCCGUGCCAGCAGCCGCGGUAAUUC
rnacentral:rRNA from 1 species